rnacentral:misc_RNA from 1 species
AGGUGAACCUGCGGAAGGAUCAUUAACCUUUCAAAUCAGGGUGCGGCGCGGCCCCCGAGGAGCGGAAACAAUCCUUGGGAGGUAUGCGGGGGCUUCGAGCCCCCCAUUUACGCACGCACGACUGCCAUCCUUACUUUACGAGCACCUUCUGUUCUCCCUCGGCGGGGCAACCUGCCGUUGGAACCGAAUAAACUCUUUUUGCAUCUAGCAUUACCUGUUCCGAAACAAACAAUCGUUACAACUUUCAACAAUGGAUCUCUUGGCUCUGG